ensembl:lncRNA
CUGCAUCCUCAUGGUCACUAGUUGGGUUUGUAACCCACUGAGCCACAACAGGAAUUCCAGGGAUAAGAUAAUAGUCUAACAGAAACAGUAAAAGAGGCCACUGGCUAUUGGGAACAGGCCCAAAAUGUCACUGGAUUACUUGCCUGAAGAGAUGAUGUUCAGAUGCUGUCACAAAAAAUGCCACACUCACCUGGGACCAAGGACAGAUAUGAAUGGGAAGGUCUGAACCUUUCCUUGCUAUGAGGUCACACCAGAUCACUGCGCAUGAGUCGCACCUAGGACGGUCACUUGGAGAGAUUGUCGGAAGCCUCUGUCCCUUGAGGUCACCACGGGGAAAGAGAACAUACUAGUUGCUCAAAUGUGGAAGGCAAUUAUUUUCCUUUUUUUUGCCCCUGAGGUAAUUAGUUAAGUACUUCAAAGAGAAUUUCAACUUCACGCAAUGAUUUCUAUUAGAGCCUAAACAGAAAAUAUAAAAGCAGCAGAUUUGCUAAAUAAACCUAAGUAAUUAGCAGUCUAACUGGUUAUUUUUCAGUUUAUUAUUUUUUGCUUCAUAGGUAUAUGAUUUUUCAACUUCCCGUUCUGCCGAGGCUGCUGUACAUGGGAGCCCUGGGCCUCAAGCAUCAUCACAAGCCUCUUGGGAGUGUGUUGCCUGCUGCUGAGGAAAAAGAGUCGCUCAAGGCAAGAAGACCCAGAGCCAGCAAGACUGAAACAAAAAGCAAAGGAGUAGUGGCAGCUGUGACUGACUAAUUGAGUUGCAUCGAACUCUGUUUUAGUUUGCCUGUUUGGUAUGGUAGCCGCACAACAGGGAAUACACGACUGCUAUUGCGUUUCUACUGGGGCUUUCAAGAACGUGGCUUUUGACGGAAGACUCUGUCCCUGGACCUGGUGGUCUCUCUCUCUGACCAGUGCUUGGGCUUGGCAGGUAAAUGAUACCCUUCCAAACAGGAGAUUUUGUCUCAUCUUCUGUCUUCCAUGAAGUCAUGACAGUAAGGAGCUUCACAUUUCAUGUGUUUCAUUUUUCAGAACUUAAAGAAUUUCAAGUAAUUCAUACACAUGCUUUUACAAAUUUCAAGAAGUCCUGAAGGGCUUGCAAUGAAAAGCACAGCACUGGGCUUAUCUUCUCUUCCUCUCAUGUUGCUCCUCAGAGCGAUCACUUUAUAAAACAAAAUUUUUAUCGAGGUAAAAUUUACAUACAUUGAAAUGCACAGUUGAAAAGUCUUCAAAUAGAUUGAUUAAUUGGUAUGGUUUGUGACUACCACCAUGCUCAAGAUACGGGUCAUUUUUAUCACCCAGAAAAUGCCCUCAUGACCUUCUUGUCACCAUUGUCACUGUUGCUGGGUUUUUUUAAUUUAUUUUUUCAUUGAAGUGUAGUUGAUUUUCUUUUUUUUUUUUCUUUUUUUUUUCUUUUUUGUCUUUUUAGGGCCACACCCACAGCAAAUAGAGGUUCCCAGGCUAGGGGUCAAAUUGGAGCUGUAGGCGCUGGCCUACACCACAGCCACACAACGCUAGAUCUGAGCCGUGUCUGUGACCUACACGACAGCUCAUGGCAGCACCGGAUCCUUAACGCACUGAGUGAGGCCAGGGAUCGAACCUGUGUCCUCAUGGAUGCUAGUCAGAUUCCUUUCUGCUGAGCCACCACGGGAAUGCCUAGUUGAUUUUCAAUGUUGUGUGUUUCACGUGUACAGCAAUACAUAUAUUCAGUUAUGCAUAUAUGUAUUCUUUUCUUUUAUGCAUAGUGAC